rnacentral:rRNA from 1 species
CUGGGUUUGACAUGCUCAGGACGCUGGUAGAGAUAUCAGUUCCCUUGUGGCCUGUGUGCAGGUGGUGCAUGGCUGUCGUCAGCUCGUGUCGUGAGAUGUUGGGUUAAGUCCCGCAACGAGCGCAACCCUUAUCUUAUGUUGCCAGCGCGUAAUGGCGGGGACUCGUGAGAGACUGCCGGGGUCAACUCGGAGGAAGGUGGGGAUGACGUCAAGUCAUCAUGCCCCUUAUGUCCAGGGCUACACACGUGCUACAUUGGCGCGUACAGAGGGUUGCAAGACCGUGAGGUGGAGCGAAUCCCUUAAAGCGCGUCUCGGUUCGGAUUGCAGGCUGAAACUCGCCUGCAUGAAGGCGGAGUUGCUAGUAAUCGCGGAUCAGCACUGCCGCGGUGAAUA